GGGUAUUACAUCAGAGUAGGACCAGACACAACAAAAUAGAUGGGCCGCUGGCUCCCUACCCAGGUAUGAUGACCAAAGAUCAAAGGACAAGCAAGAAUCAAAGGAAGAGAGCAAUAGAGAAGUAAGUUGUUAUGUUUGUGAAUGGGGUUGUUUUCUAUUCACUCCUUCAACAGGGGAAUUAUGAAAUCGAUUCUGUGGGCAGGGAAGCCUACUCGGGAGGCAGAGACAAUGUUCUGGAGCUUUGGAAAAUAGAGGAGAACCAAGACUUGUAAAUGAAUAGCUGAUGUGAGUUAGCCAAGCAAUAUAAGCAGCAAGGGAGAUCUAGAAAAGGUUGCAUGAGCUAAGAGAAGGAAGAAAUUACUUCUAUCUGUUCUUCCUGGGAUGAAAUCCAGUAAGGCUUCCAGUAGCCUAAACUGUGGCUUAAUGGAAGAAGAAGCAUGAGCAGCAAAGAAAAGGGUUGGAAACCAAGCUGUCAAAGUGUUGGGCAAGGGCUAUAAUUCAGAGACCUGCAGGAAGAGCUGACAAAACAAUACACGUCUGCAGGCCAUAUCUGGACUGAGGACCAACAGCUACAAGUUCUGAUGUAGGGAUAACCCUAUCUGACUGAAGGUACAGCUGGAAAGAUAGUGGCAGAUUAAUCCUCGCAAUGCCCUUCGCUGAUGUUCUGUACCAGGCCUGAACUUACAAAUCAGUUGACAUCAGGUCCUGAAUUGACAGAAGCUUUGCUCAGGCCUUUGGCAGAUCCCCAUCUGGUUAGGGAUCCUUCCAACACCUGUCCUUCCUCUCUUAUUUCC